GUGGGGAAUCUUAGACAAUGGGGGAAACCCUGAUCUAGCCAUGCCGCGUGAUCGAUGAAGGCCUUAGGGUUGUAAAGAUCUUUCGCUGGGGAAGAUAAUGACUGUACCCAGUAAAGAAGCCCCGGCUAACUCCGUGCCAGCAGCCGCGGUAAUACGGAGGGGGCUAGCGUUAUUCGGAAUUACUGGGCGUAAAGCGCACGUAGGCGGACCAGAAAGUUGGGGGUGAAAUCCCGGGGCUCAACCUCGGAACUGCCUUCAAAACUCCUGGUCUUGAGUUCGAGAGAGGUGAGUGGAAUUCCGAGUGUAGAGGUGAAAUUCGUAGAUAUUCGGAGGAACACCAGUGGCGAAGGCGGCUCACUGGCUCGAUACUGACGCUGAGGUGCGAAAGCGUGGGGAGCAAACAGGAUUAGAUACCCGUGUAGUCC
rnacentral:rRNA from 1 species